CAGAGACCAGAGGCCUGAGGCCUGAGGCCAACUGCAAAGGAUGAGGAGAAACAUGACAUCCUGUUUCUCUACCAACAUCCUGAUUGUUCCCCUGACAUCCAUUGCUGAUUUCUGCAGUGAAAAAUAAUUGAGAAUAAAUGGCCUGCUGGUGUCCUCCCAAC
rnacentral:lncRNA from 1 species